rnacentral:rRNA from 1 species
CCUACGGGAGGCAGCAGUAGGGAAUAUUGGGCAAUGGAGGCAACUCUGACCCAGCCAUGCCGCGUGCAGGAAGAAGGCGUUAUGCGUUGUAAACUGCUUUUAUAUAGGAAGAAAUAGACCUUGCGAGGUAAGUUGACGGUACUAUAUGAAUAAGCACCGGCUAACUCCGUGCCAGCAGCCGCGGUAAUACGGAGGGUGCAAGCGUUGUCCGGAUUUAUUGGGUUUAAAGGGUGCGUAGGCGGUUUAUUAAGUCAGUGGUGAAAGACGGUCGCUCAACGAUUGCAGUGCCAUUGAUACUGGUAGACUUGAGUGGGAUUGAGGUAGCUGGAAUGGAUAGUGUAGCGGUGAAAUGCAUAGAUAUUAUCCAGAACACCAAUUGCGUAGGCAAGUUACUAAGUCUCAACUGACGCUGAGGCACGAAAGUGUGGGUAUCAAACAGGAUUAGAUACCCUGGUAGUCCACACUGUAAACGAUGAUAACUAACUGUUGGCUUUCGGGUCAGUGGUACAGAGAAAUCGUUAAGUUAUCCACCUGGGGAGUACGCCGGCAACGGUGAAACGUCAAAUGAAUUGACGGCUGAGAGNGCGAGCGACGACGAGGGAGGAGG